AGCAAGCGGACCAAGGCAUACACGGCGGCCGAGGACAAGCUUCUUUGCGAGUGUUGGAGAGACAUUGGGCAAGACCCCAAGACGGGCGCCGAACAAAAGCAUUCAACUUUUUAGAUUCGUGUCCACCGUGAGUUCCAUGAGCGCAAGAAGUUUCCGCCGUACCAAAUAGUAAGCACGCGCGGGUGGGUGUCCAUUUUGAAGCGAUGGAGGGUGAUCCAACAAGAGUGCAACAAGUUUUGUGCCACUCUUGAGUGUCAAGGCCCGCUCCGCGAGCGGCAUCGACAUGCAAGACAUGGUAUGCUAGCAAGCCGCCCUCUUUUGUGUCAUCAAGUUUAUGCGUGCGUGUUCAUUUGCAUACCAUUUGCCAAUACGCUUGCAUGA
rnacentral:rRNA from 1 species